UUUGGGAGCUGGGAUUAAGCUAGUACCUCAGCAGGCUGGGGAGCAGGACCUUUUGUUCGUUUCCUCCGAUCCAUAUAUCACCUUCAGGAGCUGGAUCAGGAUCAAAGCAUGCGAGCCAUUCUUGCAUCGGACAUGAUGUGGCGGCAACCCCGCAUGCUCUGAGAAAGACAUUGGCGCACAUGAGAAAUGCAAGCCGCGCGCAGCUGUAAUUGGGUGAGUUCCUUUUUUUAAGUGUCGUAGCUAAGAUCUGUAUGUCUUUUGCCUUUAGUUUAUCCCUUCACGAGCUCCGCCACCCGUUAUUGAUUUAUUGUGGUGCAUUUCCUUGUGUUUCACACGGGAGUUUAUGCUAUAACAGCUCAGGGCUGCGUGCUGCAUCUUUUAGAUUAUGAUGAGAUACUCCUGGCUGUUGCAUUUGCAUCACGUAGAAUCGAAAGUUUGUUAGAAUAAUCAGGCGCAGAAGACCAUGAAAUUCACGCCAACUUUGUGCUGGGCUGUAGUGGAACAACAGUUUGAGGAUCAGAGUAUAAGAUCCGUGCGCGUUUUUGUUUUUUAUGUGAUGCGAGCGCGUGCAAAAAAAAAAAGAGACAGAUUCAUGUGUGUUGAUUGACUGUCUUGAAAUAAUCCUGUGCAGGUAUGAAACAUGCCGUCCUGUGUAUGCGAUAAUGUUUUUUGAAAAGGCCGUAUGAUAAAUUCUAAGAACAUUGAAAGGAAAUCUUUAAACAGUGUGCGUUUUCACGUGAUUUGUACUUCCACACGAGAUUUCGCGCUUGCAAGGGUACCAGUACGACGAUCUUCGAAUCUGAGCUUCCAAGGCUGAAGAUCGCAUAUCAUUCUUUUUGUUUGAGAGCGUGAGAACAAGUGAAAUACAUUUUUCAAAGAUGAUCGAGGGCUACAAAUCUACAGUAUAUUAUCAAUUUGAUUUAGGCCCAUUUAAACUUCUGGGCUAUUUCUAUAAUGCUUUAGUGUUUUGCUCCGGACACUCAUGAUUGGGCCAAAGGCCAUAAAUCAGAAUGGGCAAUGGCAGCCCAAUCUACAUGGCCCAUUUUUGUCUAAAUAAAGAUGGCCCACUAGCAGGUGCCUAAGCGCGGGCGAUAUUCGUUUUCAUGGGCUUUUGUGGAAAACAAAGCGGAAUUUCCAUUUCUUCGUCACACUCACACUGUCACACAGAAGUACAGAACAGCACAGGUUCCCCUACCCAUCUCCAGGUGUGACCGUGUGAGCCUCAAUGACUCUGCAGCAGAUGAACACCUUGGCUCUUUAUCAAAAAAAAAAAACACCUUGAUUGCCUGAUUAGACGUGCAUGAUUGCCUGCUCGCCUGCACCCACGCUACCUUGCACCGAUCAACACUUUGCCAAAUUUUUUUUACGAAACAUGAGGGGAUCAAACCCUGCUGGAUAUAUAUUACUCAACAAAAGAACAGUUAAAUUUCCAAUCCUCUCGAACGAUAAUAUGAGUAAAAAUGAUCUUGAAGCACAACAUAGCACUAUCAACUGACAGGUUGAUUACUUUGAAUAUCCGGUCAUUUCUUGCCAUCCAAAUACACCAACACAUGAGGAUUAUGAUUUCCAUAAAAAACUGAAUUUGAAGAUGCGUUCUGAAGCUGUUGAGGAUGGUGUAAGGCUCAUUUGACAAGUUGACACAGGCUUAUAGUGAUCCAACAUUCUUGGGUAAAAGGGCAUUCUAGGAGAAGAUGGAACAGAGUUUCUUCCUUAUUAUGUGCACACACUUUGCCACCUUUCCUCCUAAACAAACACUUUGCGGCCGGCUCGAUUAAUAAACAGUUCGACAGAAACUAAUUGUAAAGUGCGAUUUUUUUUCAAGGAACAUAGGAAGAGACUAGUCCAACAUAUGCAUGUGAUGGUAUCCAACAUCCAUGAUUUUUUUUCCUUACGGGGUUUUUUGUUUUUGGCAACUCUCGUCACGUCCGGGAAGAGAGUAGCUCCUGGGACUGUAGAGUUGUUUUCACUAUGCCUAAUCGUACAUGAACUGAACUGCUCGAUAAGAUAGCUCCAGCAAACUCCCGGACCACCUAAAACAUCUUAUAUUGUGGGACCCAGUAUGAUGUUUCAGCCUUUAGGUGCAUUUCCCCACUCAAGGAAAAAAAACUCAUUGAUGCUGAACUGCUCUCCAAAUAAAUGGCACGAUGUGCUGACACUUUGAUGGCGAGCCGGUGGUGUUUGGAUACACCCCACUAAAAUUUAGCACCUGCCACAUCGGAUGUUUGAAUGCUAAUUAGAAAUAUUAAAUAUAGGCUAAUUACAAAACUAAUUGCACAUGGAGUCUAAUUCACGAGACAAAUCUAUUAAAACUAAUCAGUCCAUGAUUUGAUAAUGUGGUGCUACAGCAACCAUUUGCUAAUGACAGAUUAAUUUAGCUUAAUAGAUUCGUCUCGCGAAUUAGCACAAGUUCCGUAAUUAGUUUUAUAAUUAGCUUAUGUUAGUCCUCCUAAUUAGCCUCCGAAUAUUCAAUGUGAUACUGCUAAAAUUUUGCACUAAUGUCCAGGCAACCCCUUAGCGUCGGCGUCUCAACGUCGCUACUCCGCAAAUAUCUCUGCCAUGGCUGCGGAAUAUCGCCGGCAACUCGCUGGCCGGCGGCCACGCGUCCCAUGAAUCUCGAUCGCACAGUGCAGAGCCCUCUCGGAAGACGCAGCAAGAGAAUCCACUGAUCCACAGCAAAAGGGCACGUCAACAUGGACACUUGUAGUAGUGUCCGAGACGGCGCUCCAUCCCGCUCCGUUGCCGCCGUCACGUCGUUCAGUGUCCAUUCCAUUCGCGACGUCGUCAUCACGCACGGCCGAUGAGAGCCAAUCACGAACGGCUAUCCCACACCUCCGACGGAAAAAAUAUCUUCGCAUCCCCUGGAACUGGAAUGGAAUGGAUUCAUUGCUGCGUCAUCUUGUCUGUUAUAUUACCUCCACUGGCCAAUCAGCAUAUCCUCCCCCGACCCCAAUCAUGCAAUCGCCCAAUCGCUUCUUGGGCUCCAAGCGUCACCAGUGGCGUCACGGUUGUAGUUUGGUACUUUGGUUCACUGCAAAUGCAGGGCUUCCCAGGUUCAAAUUUCGCUCAACACGUGCAACAGGAGGAGGAUUCCAAGACUAGUGGCACAACAAUCGUCUGAACAUAAUCUCAGGGGCUGUUUGGAUACGAGGUGCUAAACUUUAACAGUGUCACAUCGGAUGUUCGGAUGCUAAUUAGGAGGACUAAACAUGAGCUAGUUAUAAAA
rnacentral:lncRNA from 1 species